AUGCACAAAUCAUUGUCCUGCUCUUAACUCUAUUGAGAGUAGUGAUAUUUCUUUUGUGCUAGAAAAACUGGAGGAAAAUUAACAGGUAUGGCUAUUUCGUGCCAUAUCUGCCAGUCACCUUCGCACAAUU